ACACCGUUGGUCUAGUGGUAGAAUACACCCCUGCCACGGGUGAGACCCGAGUUCGAUUCUCGGACGGUGUA